rnacentral:pre_miRNA from 1 species
UAGGUACACCCUCCGUCCGAAAAAAUUUGUGCCAAGCUUGUGCCUCAAAUGGAUGUAUCUAGCACUAAUUUGAUGCUUGAUACAUACAUUUGAGGGACAAGCUUUUCCGGACGGAUGGAGUAUUCA